GAUGAAGAACGUAGCGAAAUGCGAUACUUGGUGUGAAUUGCAGAAUCCCGUGAACCAUCGAGUCUUUGAACGCAAGUUGCGCCCGAAGCCACUAGGCCGAGGGCACGCCUGCCUGGGCGUCACACGCCGUUGCCCCCCCAUCUCCUCCUUCGGGAUUGCGGGGGGGCGGAUGAUGGCCUCCCGUGCGCCUAGCCGCGCGGUUGGCAUAAAUACCAAGUCCUCGGCGACGCACGCCACGACAAUCGGUGGUUGCGAAACCUCGGUUGCCCGUCGUGUGCGUUCGUCGCGCAUCGAGGGCUCGAAAAAAUGCUCGGCUCCGGCUGGGCUUUCAACGCGACCCCAGGUCAGGCGGGGUUACCCGCUGAAUUUAAGCAUAUCAAUAAGCGGAGGA
rnacentral:misc_RNA from 1 species